rnacentral:rRNA from 1 species
UGGUGGACCAACGAACAGCUCAGUAACACAGUUAUAAUUUACUCGUAGAUCAAAGGAUAACCAUGGUAAGCUAUGGUUAAAACAAGAAUUAGUGGUUUUCUAAUAGGAAACAACAAAGAAAAACUCUACGACUAAGUUUCUGGCCUAUUACCUAGUAGGUAGUGUAAGGGACUACCUAGGCUGUGAUGGGUAACGGGAAAUGAUCGUUUGAUACCGGA